rnacentral:tRNA from 2 species
GGCGUUGUAGCAAAGUGGUUACUGCGUUAGCCUCGAAUUUAGUGCAGAAAUGUGCCCCAAGUUCAGCUAAUCCUCUUUGAGGGCGUAGGUUCGAAUCCUGCCAACGUCG